GCAUGCGCGGUCCCCGGGAGCCGCGUGGCGGUGCGCAGGGCGCGGGUCUCGGCGGCAGCGGGCGAGCGCCGGGACCGCGGUGUCACCUUCCGCGUCACACGAAGAAAAUCCCGCGUGGGUAAUUCCGCUUGCUGCUCAGGUAAUCGCACGUAUCGGGCUGGGGGAGCGGAGAGAAACACUUGCGAGUUCGAGGGCGCUACAGAUGCUCCACGUUAAACCCACAGAAAAGGCAAAUUUGCUGCUAGUGCAGAAAAGCUGAUGGAAAAAUUGCUGUUAACAGAUCGUGCCCUGUUCUUGCACUGGUCUCUUGAUACGUUUUUGUUUCAGGUGAAAGAACGAAAUUUUGUGUCUGGUAAAUUCAGAGCUGCCUGUUAGCUUCUUUAGGGUCGAGUGUUUCUCUUCGCUCUGUUCGUACGGAUUUUAUGGGCAAGUUGGAAACAGCCUUUUACUUUUUUAUGUGUAACUGAAUUUUUAGGAAUAUGUGGUGUCCCUGUAGUUCAUUUUUGAGCACCUAGAAGCCAGUAGAAAUGUCAUGAGUGAAACGUGAUGGAAACUGGUACUUAAACUUGAUUUCUAUUUCGAUUUUUUUUUUUUUUUUUUUUCUUCUUCCCCAUUGAGAGUGUUGAUGGCAUGUUGUCCCGUGGCACAAUCCCCAUUCCGUUCAGUGGAGUCUUCAGUCUAGGACUUUUAAGUAAAAAAGUUUGUCCUUCCAAAAAAG
rnacentral:lncRNA from 1 species